rnacentral:rRNA from 1 species
GAGUUUGAUCGUGGCUCAGAUUGAACGCUGGCGGCAGGCCUAACACAUGCAAGUCGGGCGGUAGAGAGAAGCUUGCUUCUCUUGAGAGCGGCGGACGGGUGAGUAAUGCCUAGGAAUCUGCCUGGUAGCGGGGGAUAACGCUCGGAAACGGACGCUAAUACCGCAUACGUCCUACGGGAGAAAGCAGGGGACCUUCGGGCCUUGCGCUAUCAGAUGAGCCUAGGUCGGAUUAGCUAGUUGGUGAGGUAAUGGCUCACCAAGGCGACGAUCCGUAACUGGUCUGAGAGGAUGAUCAGUCACACUGGAACUGAGACACGGUCCAGACUCCUACGGGAGGCAGCAGUGGGGAAUAUUGGACAAUGGGCGAAAGCCUGAUCCAGCCAUGCCGCGUGUGUGAAGAAGGUCUUCGGAUUGUAAAGCACUUUAAGUUGGGAGGAAGGGCAGUAAAUUAAUACUUUGCUGUUUUUGACGUUACCGACAGAAUAAGCACCGGCUAACUCUGUGCCAGCAGCCG